rnacentral:tRNA from 1 species
GCCGGAAUAGCUCAGUUGGGCGAGCGUUAGACUGAAGUUGUUUACGCAACAAUGAUCUAAGGGCCCCCCCCGGAUCACUCCCGGGUUCCCGCA